UACAGAGGUGCCGAGCGUUAGGCGGAAUCACUGGGCUUAAAGCGCGUGUAGGCGGGUCGGUAAGUGUCUUGUGAAAUCCCACGGCUCAACCGUGGAACUGCUGGGCAUACUGCCGAUCUUGAGGCACUCAGGGGCUGUCGGAACAAAUGGUGGAGCGGUGAAAUGCGUAGAUAUCAUUUGGAACGCCAAUGGUGAAAACAGACAGCUGGGGGUGUCCUGACGCUGAGACGCGAAAGCCAGGGGAG
rnacentral:rRNA from 1 species